UACGUAGGGGGCAAGCGUUAUCCGGAUUUACUGGGUGUAAAGGGAGCGCAGACGGCCUCAAGUCUGAGGUGAAACCCCACGGCUCAACCGUGGGCUUGCUUUGGAACCUGUUAGGCUAGAGUACUGGAGAGGUAAGCGGAAUUCCUAGUGUAGCGGUGAAAUGCGUAGAUAUUAGGAGGAACAUCGGUGGCGAAGGCGGCUUACUGGACAGCAACUGACGUUGAGGCUCGAAGGCGUGGGGAGCAAACAG
rnacentral:rRNA from 1 species